rnacentral:misc_RNA from 1 species
GAUGAAGAACGUAGCGAAAUGCGAUAAGUAAUGUGAAUUGCAGAAUUCAGUGAAUCAUCGAAUCUUUGAACGCACCUUGCGCCCUUUGGCUAUUCUGAAGGGCAUGCCUGUUUGAGUAUCAUGAACACCUCAACUCUCAUGGUCCGCCAUGAUGAGCUUGGACUAUGGGGGUCUUGCCGGCCUAGCGUCGGCUCCUCUCAAAUGGAUCAGCUUCCCAGUGUUUGGUGGCGUCACAGGUGUGAUAACUAUCUACGCUUGUGGUAUUCCGACAUUAACCUUCAGCAAUGGAGGUUCGCUGGAGCUCACAGACGUCUUUCCUGGGGGAGGACAGCUUCUUGAAUGUCUGAUCUCAAAUCAGGUAGGACUACCCGCUGAACUUAAGCAUAUCAAUAAGCGGAGGA